GAUGAAGAACGCAGCGAAAUGCGAUAAGUAAUGUGAAUUGCAGAAUUCAAUGAAUCAUCGAAUCUUUGAACGCACCUUGCGCUCCUUGGCAUUCCGAGGAGCAUGCCUGUUUGAGUGUCAUUAAAUUCUCAAGACCUGUCUGCUUUUUUGAUAGGUAUUGGAUUUUGGGGGUUGCAGGCUGUUUCAAAUAAAUAGCCUUGCUCUCCUUGAAUGUAUUAGUGGAGAAAAGCCAUUGAACUCCAUUGGUGUGAUAAAACCUAUCAAUGCCAGGAGCAAUAUCACUACUUCUCUCUGCUGUCUAACUGUGACUGUCUGUAUUAAUUAGUAUGGAUGGGGACAACUUGACCAACUUGACCUCAAAUCAGGUAGGACUACCCGCUGAACUUAAGCAUAUCAAUAAGCGGAGGA
rnacentral:misc_RNA from 1 species